AGUCUGUGAGGUAGCAUCUGUGAGGUGGCAUCUGUGUCUGUGUAAGGUGGCAUCUGUGAGGUGGCAUCUAUGAGGUGGCAUCUGUGAGGUGGUGUCUGUGAGGUGGCAUCUGUGAGGUGAUGUCUGUGUCUGUGAGGUAGCAUCUGUGAGGUGAUGUCUGUGUCUGUGAGGUGGCAUCUGGGAGGUGAUGUCUAUGUCUGUGAGGUGGCAUCUGUGAGGUAUCUGUGUCUAUGAGGUGAUGUCUGUGUCUGUGUGGCGGUGUCUGUGAGGUGAUGUCUGUGAGGUGGCAUCUGUGUCUGUGAGGUGAUGUCUGUGAGGUGGCAUCUGUGUCUGUGAGGUGGUGUCUGUGUCUGUGAGGUGGCAUCUGUGAGGUGGUGUCUUGUCAGGUGAUGGCUGUGUCUGUGUCUGUGUGGUGGUGUCUGUGAGGUGAUGUCUGUGAGGUGAUGUCUGUGUCUCUGAGGUGGCAUCUGUGAGGUGGUGUCUUGUCAGGUGAUGGCUGCGUCUGUGUGGUAGUGUCUGUAAGGUAGCAUCUGUGUCUGUGAGGUGGCAUCUGUGAAGUGGCAUCUGGUGUGUGAGGUGGCAUUCGUGAGGUGGUGUCUGUAUCUAUGAGGUGGUAUCUGUGAGGUGGUGUCUGUGAGGGUGUCCGUGAGGGUGUCUGUGAGGUGGCAUCUGUGAGGUGGUGUCUGUGUCUGUGAGGUGGGGUCUAUGAGGUGGCAUCUGUGAGGUAGCUCAGCAGAUAAAGGCACUUGCCAAUGAGCUGAAUUCAAUCCCAGGACCCAUACAGUACAAGGAGAGAACAAAUUCUUGCAAGUGGUUUUGAAAACUCAAAGCCCACUCCCAAUGACACACCUCCUCCAACAAGACCACACCUUCUAAUCCUUCUCAAGCAGUUCCACUAACUGGGACCAAGCGUUCAAACAUUCGAGCCUAUGGGGACCAUUCUCAUUCAAACCACCAUACUUGUUAAAUAAAUAAAUAGAGAUAGAUAGAUAGAUAGGUAGAUAGAUAGAUUAUAAAUGUUUUUUUAAUAAGUGUGCUUUUUAGGAAGAAACAGAUCAUUGGCUUGGUAAAAGAAAGCAAUAAGGCUAACUAAAAUGUUAAACCUCACAAAGUCUCUAAAUUACUCCCCAGCACACAAAGAAAACUUCCCUAGUUUCCUUUCUUUUUUAUGUAUGCAUGUAUGUAUGUAUGUAUGUAUGUAUGUAUGUAUGUAUGUAUGUGUAUUAAAUCAUUUUAUUUGUUUACAUUUCAAAUGUUAUCCCUCUUCCAGGUUUCCCCUCCACAAACCCCCCACCCCGUCCCCUUCCCCUUUGCCUCUACAAAGGUGCUUUCCCAACCAACCACCCACUCCUGCCUCACCCCUCUAGCAUUCCCCUUCUCUAGGGUAUCAGGUUUCCAUAGGACCAAGUGCCUCUCCUCCCACUGAUGACAGAUGAGGCAGUGCUCUGCUACAUAUGUAGGGGGAGCCAUGAACCCGCCCAUGUAGACCCUUUGGUUGGUAGUUUAGUCCCUGGAGCUCUGAGGGUAUGUUAGUUGUUUUUCCUAUGCAGUUGCAAUCCCCUUCGGCUCCUUCAGUCCUUCCCCUAGUUCUACCAUUGGGGUCUCUGGGCUCAGCCCAACGGUUGAAAAUGAGUAUCUGCAUCUUUCUUGGUUGGGUGCUGACAGGGCCAAUCAGAAGAGAGCCAUACCAGACUCCUGUCUGUAAGCGCAUCUUGGCAUCAGCAAUAGUGUCAGGGUUUGGUGUCUAUGGAUGGAAUAGAUUGGAAGGUGGGGCUUAUGGGGACUGGAGAGAUAGUUCAGUGUGAGCACUGGCUGCUCUUCCAGAGGACCUGAGUUCCUGGAAACCACAUGAUGGCUCACAAACAUCUGUAAUGGGAUCUGAUGCCCUCUUCUUGAUGCCCUCUGCUGGCAUAUGGGUAUACAGGCAGACAGAGCACUGACAUUAAAUAAAUAAAUAAAUAAAUAAAUAAAUAAAUAAAUAAAUAAAUAAAUAAUCUUUUUAAAAAAAUAUUAUGUGGGGGCUGGAGAGACGGCUCAGCAGUUAAGAGCACUGACUGCUCUUCCAGAGGUCCUGAGUUCAAUUCCCAGCAACCACAUGGUGGCUCACAACCAUCUGUAAAGAGAUCUGAUGCCCUCUUCUGGUGUAUCUGAAGAUAGCUACAGUGUACUUAUACAUAAUAAAUGAAUAAAUCUUUCUAAAAAAUUAAAAAAAAUUAUGUGUAUGGGUAUUUUGGCCUGCUGGUACGUUGGUGCUUCCUGUGUGAGCCUGGUGCCAGAAGACCUUGGUUGGUUUCCUGGAACUGGAGUAACAAAUGGUGUGAGUGGUGUGAGGAUGCUGGGAAUCCAACCCUGGUGCUUUGGAAAAGCAGCUAGCUCUCUUCACUGCUAAGCCAUCUUUCCAGCCCCUUAAUUCUGUUUAGGAAACAAGGAUGGUACUGGAGAGAUGGCUCAGUGGUCAAGAGCACUGACUGUUCUUCUAGAGGUCCUGAGUUCAAAUCCCAGCAACCACAUGGUGGCUCACAACCAUCUGUAAUGAGAUCUGAUACCCUUUUCUGGUGUGUCUGAAGACAGCAACAGUGUACUUAAUAAAUCUUUUUUAAAAAUAAAAGAAAACAGGAAUGAAUAACAUCAGUACUUUGACCUGAUACAAACUGUGCAAUAAAAACUAAAGCUGUAAAUCAAGAGUGUAUGCAUUUUUUGACAAAAUUUCAAAAUGAUAACUUUGUGCUUUGCUAAAUCGAAGAAUCUGCUGGACUUCAGGCUCCUAGGAGUGGUGCUUUGGGUUAGUUAAUAGUUUCAGUUUCCUCUGAGAUUAAAACAGUUCACACUGCUGGGAAACUCUUUAAACAAGAAGGUAAACAAAUUCAAAUAGCUUCAGGAAGUUCCUGAAACCAACCACGUUCACUAGGCCCCUCCCUCCCAGAGUAAGCAGAGCCAAGCUGCACAAGAAGACUGUCAGAGAGCUGAGCUGCCAAGAAGACUCAGACUGGACCAGCUGCCCAGACGAAGCAAAAACUAGCCAAGCUGGCUGGAAGAGGUUUAGACCAGUUUGUGAGCCGUCAGCCAUGCUGAGUGCGUUUUGGUGAUGCAGCUGUCUUUGGUUACUUCUGCUCCUGUAAGUAACACCAAUAAAACUCCAUAUUGGACUUUUGUGUGUCUAUCUGAGAGAUCCAGCUGCCUCUGCCUCCCCAGUACGUGGGACACCACCACCCAUCCCAAGAGUAUUUCUCUUAAGAUUAGAAGCUGCCACCUGGAAGUUCUUCUGGAAGCAUAGCAAUGCAGUCCAUCAAGAGAUAACAGCUGUGCAGCUAAGACGUGCAAAGACACUAACGUGUCCGACAAGAUCACGGAUCUGUAAAAAAAUCUAGAUGACAAUCCAUAAACUGACUCAAGCAAGAAAAUGAGUCAGCAGCUUAGCGGGCAACAUGCUACAAUAAACACACCGGCAUCUUUAUGCUACAGAGUAGCCAGCUAGAUGAUCCAUUUACAAUGGCAACAGAGAAGAUGAACUAUCUCGGGGCAAAUGAGAUCCAGAAACACACAGAGCCACCAUGAGGAAAACAUUUUGAAAACUCAAAAAGAGCUCAUUAGCAUGGGAUAUGAGGAUGACGUCAUUUUCCUUCCAUACCAUGACUGGAGGCAGAAAGCUGUGACUCUUCCCAAGUUACUUUAUUAAAGAGGCUUUUUGUUUA